ensembl:miRNA Mir6911 microRNA 6911
CAGAGUGGGCUGAGUGGGUCUGUGGCACCUACCCCCACAAAGCCUGCCUCAAUCACACUCUGUCCACAG